rnacentral:rRNA from 1 species
UACGGGGGGGGCAAGCGUUGUUCGGAAUUACUGGGCGUAAAGGGCUCGUAGGCGGCCAUCUAAGUCGGACGUGAAAUCUCUCGGCUCAACCGGGAGAGGUUGUCCGAUACUUCCAGACUUGAGGGCAGUAGAGGGUGGUGGAAUUCCGGGUGUAGUGGUGAAAUGCGUAGAUAUCCGGAGGAACACCAGUGGCGAAAGCGGCCACCUGGACUGCACCUGACGCUGACACGCGAAAGCUAGGGGAGCGAACGGG